UUGGGAACUUGCCUUUGCGAGGGGGAUCACAUUUGGAAACGACUGCUAAUACCGCAUAAUGUCUUCGGACCAAACGGGGCUUCGGCUCCGGCGCAAAGAGAGGCCCAAGUGAGAUUAGCUAGUUGGUAAGGUAACGGCUUACCAAGGCGACGAUCUCUAGCUGUUCUGAGAGGAAGAUCAGCCACACUGGGACUGAGACACGGCCCAGACUCCUACGGGAGGCAGCAGUGGGGAAUAUUGCACAAUGGGGGAAACCCUGAUGCAGCCAUGCCGCGUGUGUGAAGAAGGCCUUCGGGUUGUAAAGCACUUUCAGUUGUGAGGAAAAGUUAGUAGUUAAUACCUGCUAGCCGUGACGUUAACAACAGAAGAGGCACCGGCUAACUCCGUGCCAGCAGCCGCGGUAAUACGGAGGGUGCGAGCGUUAAUCGGAAUUACUGGGCGUAAAGCGCACGCAGGCGGUUUGUUAAGCUAGAUGUGAAAGCCCCGGGCUCACCCUGGGAUGUCAUUUAGAACUGGCAGACUAGAGUCUUGGAGAGGGGAGUGGGAAUUCCAGGUGUAGCGGUGAAAUGCCUUAGAUAUCUGGAGGGAUCAUCAGUGGUCAAAGGCGACUUCCUUGGUCCAAGACUGACGCUCAUGGUGCGAAAGUGUGGGGUAGCGAAACAGGGAUUAAAAUACCCCUGGGA
rnacentral:rRNA from 1 species